rnacentral:rRNA from 1 species
AUACGGAGGAUCCGAGCGUUAUCCGGAUUUAUUGGGUUUAAAGGGUGCGUAGGCGGGAUAAUAAGUCAGCGGUGAAAGUUUGCAGCUUAACUGUAAAAAUGCCGUUGAAACUGUCGGACUUGAGUGUAAAUGAGGUAGGCGGAAUGCGUGGUGUAGCGGUGAAAUGCAUAGAUAUCGCGCAGAACUCCGAUUGCGAAGGCAGCUUACUAAGCUACAACUGACACUGAAGCACGAAAGCGUGGGGAUC